rnacentral:rRNA from 1 species
AGGAUUAACGCUGGCGGCGUGCCUAACACAUGCAAGUCGAACGAGGUAGCAAUACCUAGUGGCAGACGGGUGAGUAGCGCGUGGUCAACCUACCGUUGAGUGGGGGAUAACUAGCCGAAAGGUUAGCUAAUACCGCAUACGUCUCCGAGGGGCAUCCCUUGGCGAUAAAAGGAGCAAUCCGCUCGAUGACGGGACCGCGUCCCAUUAGCUAGUUGGUGGGGUAACGGCCUACCAAGGCAUCGAUGGGUAGCUGGUUUGAGAGAGCGACCAGCCACACUGGGACUGAGAUACGGCCCAGACUCCUACGGGAGGCAGCAGUGAGGAAUUUUCCGCAAUGGGCGAAAGCCUGACGGAGCGACGCCGCGUGUGGGAAGAAGGCCUUCGGGUCGUAAACCACUGUCGAAGGGGAAGAUAAUGACGGUACCCUUGGAGGAAGCCCCGGCUAACGUACGUGCCAGCAGCCGC